GGGCCUGUAGCUCAGUCGGUUAGAGCGCACCCCUGAUAAGGGUGAGGUCAGAAGUUCGAAUCUUCUCAGGCCCACCA
rnacentral:tRNA from 10 species